rnacentral:antisense_RNA from 1 species
UGUGAACUGACAAGCCCGUGGAUGUCUACAAAGAGUGAACUGAUCACUGUGGGCUGGCCUUUGAGGCAUCAGCAAGGCGUUGUGGCUCUGGAGACCUGGAAGCACCACUAACUGUUCUCCUGAUUUUCUGAUGCUCAGCCACAUCAACCUGUCAUGCUAGUUGUGAGGAGAAGUCAAGGACAGUGACACAGCCAGCCAGUCUGAGGGGUUUUCCAUCAUCCUGAAGGAGUUGCCCUAUCCUGCUUUUCACUGGAGGGGGCAUGGAUGGGGGCUCUUGACACACUGACCUCUGUCAGUUCCUUCAGCACACCAGGCUAAUCCCCAGUCUUGUGCCUUUGGACCAGGGGUUUUCUUUGCUCAGAAUACUGUUUCAACAGAUCUUUGCAUAGCUGGCUCUUGCUAUUUGUCUAAAAUGGCAAUCCUCAGAGAGGUACUCCUUAAAUAUCCAAUCUUAAGUAGCAUCCCUUUCUCCCAGGAUCCUGUUUUUCAGAACUCUGUUUUCUUUUUAAAACACUUGUUAUCUGAAAGGAUGUUGUCUGCUUGCUUGUUUGUUCAUUUCUUUAUUGUCUAUUCCAUCUCUCCCCUUCUCAGGAUGUAAGCUGUUUAAAGGCAAGGACCUUAUCUGUGUUAUAUGCUGUAUUCCCAGGGCUCAGACAGAGCAUGACCUAU